ensembl:lncRNA
AGGUGGACCCAAUGUAAUCUCAGGUUCCUUAAAUGUAGAAAAGGAAGGCAGAAGACUCAGUGGUAGAGUAAUGCAGUGUGAGAAAGAGUCAGCUGGAUAUUGCUGUCUGGGAGAUAGAAGAGAGCCACAAACAAAGGAAUGCAGGUGGUCUCUCGAAACUGCACAGGGCAUGAAAAUGGAUCCUCCCCUGGAGCCUCCAGGGAUAGAAAUCAGUGACACCUUGAGACCCAGUUUGGACUUCUGACCUCCAGAACUGCAACGUGAUACAUUUGCAUUGGUGUGAGCCACUAAUUUUGAGGAAGGGUGAGGUCACCAAGAGAGAUGCAAAUACUUAUAGAAGAUAAAAGGUCUAGUUCCAUUGAAGGGAUGUUCCUACAUCAAAAUUGCCGUUUCGUAUAUUUCUGGGUUACAAGCUAUAAAGAAAUCCAGUUCUGGAGCCACAACUCAGAUAGGAUUCAAUUCAUUAUCGAACCCCUGGGCCUCUCAUCCAGGACCCCAGAGACUUUGUCUUCACUCAUGACUGAUCAGGUAACCAUUGAUGAGUCUGACUUCUGAUCCAGUCCUUCAGACAUCCAACCAUGAAAGCAUGGUAAGGAAUUGACUUUAAUCCUAAUAGAGUGUUCUUAUUGCUAAUGAGAUCUCAUUUGGUUGAACUUUUGUUCUUUGGUAUUUAGAGCACUUUUUCUUUGCUGGGAUCUGCGGCCUGUUGGGAUCUUGUUUGACCUUUAGUCUGAUGCCUCUCUCCCCCAUGGGAGAUACUCACUCAUCUGAUUUUCCUCCUUUAAAGAUUCCUGGUGACUAUAUGCUGCAUCACUGUAGUGCUAAGUCUAUUUACUUCCUUCCUCCUUGGCAUGAUUUUCCUAAGUAUAAUUUAGAACUUCAGUGGCCUUUAUGGGAAACAACAUCUCGCAAGCUGUCUCAUCUAAGACCUCCUCCUUCCUCUCACCUCUGUUCCUCCUUUCUCCUUUGCCACUUUGAUCAUCCCUUCAGCUCCCUGAAGUCCUUCAUAUGUCCCUUUUCAAGAUCCUUAUCUCCUUUAUCCCUCAAUCUACCCCUGACAUUUUCCUUCCCACUCUAGCUCCUCAAUUUCCUAUAGUCACUAGACCUUUAG